rnacentral:rRNA from 1 species
ACCCGCUGGAUUUAAGCAUAUCAGUAAGCGGAGGAAAAGAAAAUAACAAUGAUUACCUCAGUAGCGGCGAGUGAAGAGGUAAAAGCCCAAGAUGUUAAUCUGUGUUAAAGACAUAGAAUUGUAAUCUAUGGAAUCAAUCAGAAAGCGGACGCCUGCCAUAAAUCCCUUGGAACAGGGUGCCAGAGAGGGUGAAAGCCCCGUCUUCGGGUAGGAAGAAGCAAUAUGAAAGAUUUCUAAGAGUCGGGUAGUUUGGGAAUGCUGCCCUAAGUGGGAGAUAAACUUCUCCUAAGGCUAAAUAUUUAUAGGAGACCGAUAGCAUACAAGUACUGCGAAGGAAAGAUGAAAAGAACUUUGAAAAGAGGGUUAAAAGACUUGAAAUCGUUGAAAAGGAAGCAGUAAAAGAGAAAUUAUUUAUCAGUGAAUAAGGUUUUAGGCUAAGCUCUGUGGUGUAUAGUACUUAACAAGGCUAUUGCCAUUCUGCGAAAACUAACUCACUUUUUACUGGUAAUAGACAAAAUGAGAUUGAUUUGUAAAAAUAAGGUUAAGAGUGUAUUCUCCGACUCGAAUUUACAAGUCAGUCUGAGGGAUCUUAGGAUGAUUUUGUCAAAAUGGCUUUUACUGACCCGUCUUGAAACACGGACCAAGGAGUCUACCUAUUAUGCGAGUGUUAGGGUGGAAAAACCCAAACGCCAACCGAAAGGGAUUUAAGAUGUGAGGCGCGAGCUACAACAUCAACCAAUCUUGAUUCUUUGAAGAAAGACUUGAGUAAGAGCAUAAUCGGUAGGACCCGAAAGAUGGUGAACUACGGUUGAGUAGGGUGAAGCCAGGGGAAACUCUGGUGGAGGCUCGAAGCGUUACUGACGUGCAAAUCGUUCGUCAAACUUGACUGUAGGGGCGAAAGACUAAUCGAACCAUCUAGUAGCUGGUUCCCUCUGAAAUUUCUCUCAGGAUAGCAGGAACAGAUAGAGCAGUUUUAUCAGGUAAAGCUAAUGAUUAGUGGCAUCGGGGGUCUUCGACCCUUGACCAAUUCUCAAACUUUAAAUUGGUAAGAACCAACAGUUUUCUUAAUUGAACUGUUGGGCAGAAUGCAUUGUUCUUAGUGGGCCAUUUUUGGUAAGCAGAACUGGCGAUGAGGGAUGAACCUAACGUUGAGAUAAGGUGCCCAAAUUCACGCUCAUCAGACACCAGAAAAGGCGUUGGUUAGUUUAAACAGCCGGACUGUGGCCAUGGAAGUCGGCACCAGCUAAGGAGUGUGUAACAACUCACCAGCCGAAUUAACCAGCCCUGAAAAUUGAUGGCGCUAAGCGUGAUACCGAUACUCAACCAUCACAGCAAAUAGAAGUUGUGAUGAGUAAGAGGGCGUGAAGACUGUGUAGAAGGCUUGGAUGUGAAUCUGGCUGGAACAGUCUUUAGUGCAGAUCUUGGUGGUAGUAGCAAAUAUUCAAAUGAGAACUUUGAAGACCGAAGUGGAGAAGGGUUCCAUGAGAACAGCAUUUGGUCAUGGGUUACUCGAUCCUAAGACAUAGGGAAAUUCCUUGUAAUACAUUUACUCUUACGAGUAUGUAGUCAAAAGGGAAUGAGGUUCAUAUUCCUCAAGCUGGAUGUGGGAGCUAUGUGGUAACACAAACAAGCUCGGAGACAUCGGUAUGUGCAACUGGAAGAGUUCUCUUUUCUUCUUAACAGUCUAUCUCCCUGAAUGGAUUAUCCAAAGCUAGGGAUAUAUGGCUGGCAGAGCAGUUCUCCAUUGAAUUGUCAGUGAGGCUCAUAACGAUCCUUGAAAAUCCGAGUAAGAUUAUCUCAUCACACCAGGUCGUACCCAUAACCGCAUCAGGUCUCCAAGGUU